UAGGGAAUCUUCCACAAUGGGCGCAAGCCUGAUGGAGCAACACCGCGUGAGUGAAGAAGGGUUUCGGCUCGUAAAACACUGUUGUAAGAGAAGAAUGACAUUGAGAGUAACUGUUCAAUGUGUGACGGUAUCUUACCAGAAAGGAACGGCUAAAUACGUGCCAA
rnacentral:rRNA from 1 species